AGAGUUUGAUCAUGGCUCAGAUUGAACGCUGGCGGCAUGCCUUACACAUGCAAGUCGGACGGCAGCGCGGGGGCAACCCUGGCGGCGAGUGGCGAACGGGUGAGUAAGACAUCGGAACGUGUCCUGGAGUGGGGGAUAGCCCGGCGAAAGCCGGAUUAAUACCGCAUACGAUCCGAGGAUGAAAGCGGGGGACCGAAAGGCCUCGCGCUCAAGGAGCGGCCGAUGGCGGAUUAGCUAGUUGGUGAGGUAAAGGCUCACCAAGGCGACGAUCCGUAGCUGGUCUGAGAGGACGACCAGCCACACUGGGACUGAGACACGGCCCAGACUCCUACGGGAGGCAGCAGUGGGGAAUUUUGGACAAUGGGCGCAAGCCUGAUCCAGCAAUGCCGCGUGUGUGAAGAAGGCCUUCGGGUUGUAAAGCACUUUUGUCCGGAAAGAAAACUUCGUCCCUAACAUGGAUGGAGGCUGACGGUACCGGAAGAAUAAGCACCGGCUAACUACGUGCCAGCAGCCGCGGUAAUACGUAGGGUGCGAGCGUUAAUCGGAAUUACUGGGCGUAAAGCGUGCGCAGGCGGUGAUGUAAGACCGAUGUGAAAUCCCCGGGCUUAACCUGGGAACUGCAUUGGUGACUGCAUUGCUGGAGUAUGGCAGAGGGGGGUGGAAUUCCACGUAGCAGUGAAAUGCGUAGAGAUGUGGAGGAACACCGAUGGCGAAGGCAGCCCCCUGGGCCAAUACUGACGCUCAUGCACGAAAGCGUGGGGAGCAAACAGGAUUAGAUACCCCCGUAGUCC
rnacentral:rRNA from 1 species